UACAGAGGGGGCAAGCGUUGUUCGGAAUUACUGGGCGUAGAGCGCACGUAGGCGGCUUUGUAAGUUAGAGGUGAAAGCCCGGAGCUUAACUCCGGAACUGCCUUUAAGACUGCAUCGCUUGAAUCAUGGAGAGGUUAGUGGAAUUCCGAGUGUAGAGGUGAAAUUCGUAGAUAUUCGGAAGAACACCAGUGGCGAAGGCGACUAACUGGACAUGUAUUGACGCUGAGGUGCGAAAGCGUGGGGAGCAAACAGG
rnacentral:rRNA from 1 species